ACGAACGCUGGCGGCGUGCUUAACACCUGCAAGUCGAACGGGGAAGCGCCUUCCUUUUUGGUGGGCGUGGAUGAGUGGCGAACGGGUGAGUAACACGUGAGUAACCUGCCCCCUUCUUCUGGAUAACCGCAUGAAAGUGUGGCUAAUACGGGAUAUUCUGGGUCUGUCGCAUGAUGGGUCUGGGAAAGAUAUUGUUUCGGUGGGGGAUGGGCUCGCGGCCUAUCAGCGUGUUGGUGGGGUGAUGGCCUACCAAGGCGGUGACGGGUAGCCGGCCUGAGAGGGUGGCCGGCCACACUGGGUCUGCGACACGGCCGGGACUGCGACGGGAGGCAGCAGUGGAGAGUAUUGCACAAUGGGGGCAAGCCUGAUGCGGCGGCGCCGCGUGAGGGAUGGAGGCCUUCGGGUUGUGAACCUCUUUCGCCAGUGAAGCAGGCCUGCCUCUUUUGUGGGUGGGUUGACGGUAGCUGGAUAAGAAGCGCCGGCUAACUACGUG
rnacentral:rRNA from 1 species